rnacentral:lncRNA from 1 species
ACAGUUAGCUCUGGCAAAAUGAUUGGUCCUUAUUUCUCCCAAUUUUCUUUAUCGACUGCUUGAAAGUGAAAUCAAAGACUGUCGUGGCCGUCUCCACAGAGGUACUCACUGAAUUUACCGUUUAUAAAGGUGCAUUUGGUUUCCCAAGAUCUGGUUCCUAGUUCCAGCUCUGCCCCUUGCUAAAUGGGUGUCUUGACCCUCUCUGAGCUUCCAUUUCUUCAUCUAGAAAAUAAGGAUGAAAACAAAGAUGGCAUCCAGUGAUGUUGCGAAGAUAUGAUAAAUGCUAUACAAAUACUGAUUAUCAUUAAUUUCCUGCCGCCCUGCAGAACAACUGGGAAUACAAAGGUAGAUCAAGUCUCUGCCAAGAAGAAACCUUCUAUCUGGUGGUGGAGAAAGAUGAUAAAGAAUCAUUCUAUGGAAGUAGCUUGGAAGGCUGGAACUAGGAAGUUACUGAAAUAUGGCCUUCUAAGUCCACGUGUGCCUUGCUGUCUCAGAAAUACACUGGAAAUUCCCAGCCUGAAGAGGACAACAGAAACAGUAGGGGAUCAGCAAUCCUGA